CCUACGGGUGGCAGCAGUGAGGAAUAUUGGUCAAUGGGCGCGAGCCUGAACCAGCCAAGUAGCGUGAAGGAUGACUGCCCUACGGGUUGUAAACUUCUUUUAUAAAGGACUAAAGUGAGGCACGUGUGCCUUUUUGUCUGUACUUUAUGAUUAAGGAUCGGCUAACACCGUGCCAGCCGCCGCGGUAAUACGGAGGAUCCGCGCGUUAUCCGGAUUUAUUGGGUGUAAAGGGAGCGUAGAUGGGUUGUUAAGUCAGUUGUGAAAGUUUGCGGCUCAACCGUAAAAUUGCACUUGAUACUGGCAGUCUUGAGUGCAGGUGAGGGAGGCGGAAUUCGUGGUGUAGCGGUGAAAUGCUUAGAUAUCACGAAGAACUCCGAUUGCGAAGGCAGCUUACUAAACUGCCACUGACAUUGAUGCUCGAAAGUGUGGGUAUCAAACAGGAUUAGAUACCCCUGUAGUC
rnacentral:rRNA from 1 species